CAGAUCUGAAAGCAUCUUCUCAAAAUGGCAAGUGAGGUGGUUUACGCCGAGGUAUCACACAAGGAAAGAGUGCAUUUUACUUCACAAACUUCAGACACAGGUGAUCUAACCACAUACGCUGAGGUGAAUGUGAAACAGAGAUCCGACAGACCUGAUAGCACACCCAAAACUACACAUACAGUGACCUGCUUGGAGAACUCACCCUGGUGUUACAUUGCUGUCAUCUUGUACUUCACUGCAGUGAUUCUGCUCAUCACUGUCAUCCUCUUGGCAGUGAAAUGUCACCAUCUCUGAGGCAGAUCCUGCUGUCUUGCUGAUGUACAGGCUCAUCAUGGGAAGGCUCUGCUUCGUCAACAAAAGAAGACAUAAUGCUUGUUUACUUUUACAUUAUUUUUUCUGAAGAGACCUUUGCAAAAGAAGACAUGCCAUCAGUCUGAUCACUGUUCAGUUAUGUUUGCUGGGGUCUCCAUUAAACCUCUAACUUCUCUAUAUAUGGACAAAACAUGUAUUAUUACUUUUAUUUGGAAUCUGCUUAAUCCUGUAAUACCAGCAACCAUCAAACAAUAUCAGUGCAUGUAACAAGGAAUAGGCUCAAGCUGCUACAUCAAAAGUUGGGUUUGGAUCUUGUCUAGACAACACAGAUGACCAAGUGGACCAAUUUGAGACAUCGCUUUUAAUUCACACCUGGCUUGAUUUUCCAAUAAUUUGCAAUAUAGAUAAGCUUUGCUAUUUCAAUAUUUGCAAGUACAAGAAUUUGUAGAUGAAACAGAGAAUGUGAAAGGUUCAACUUUUUAUGAAGCCCAGAUUUAGAUGUGAUUUUUCAUCUCCUGAGAGCCUUUAGUGGGAUUUCUAUUAAAGGGGUAUUGAAGGUACAAGAAACUAUAUUAAUUUGGUAGAGAAGUCUCAGACUCAUGCCCCUAUAGGCUUGAAUAAAAUUAUUGUGUUCUACUUGUCCAGAAAGUAUCUCACAGAGAUACAAUAUGCUGUUUCUUUCUUGGGUCAGUAAUUAAUUUUGUAUUUGUUUUUGUUUCUUUCCGAAAUGCUGUACCUUCAGCUAAAUCAGAGUCCUCCACUAGAACUAACCCACUUCAAGUUCAAAUGCAUUUAUUUGUUAUUACAUUGCUGUCUUUUUUUCAUAUUAUUUUCAGUUCUUAUCAACUAUGUUAUAACUUCUUGGGGGCAGGCUGAUAUCAGUGAUAUUCAGACCCUGAGCAGGAGGGGUCUGUGUAGCAAUUAUUUCUAAACUUUUUGCCUGUAUCUAAGCUUAUCUGUAUUUAAGUCAUGCUGUUGCUGUUGAUAAUGUACCACAUUUUUAUAGUAUAUGCACCAGAAAUCAAGAAAGAGAUUUAGUAAAGCUCUUGACAUGCUGGUGUUUGUUCUUACAUUAGUCAGACUAGAAGAAAAAUAAAAUUUGUACUUGUAUCGCUGUAACACCUCUGAACUGUUGUAAUGAAGCAGGAUGCUGGUCUGUUAAGUGCAGUCUAAAGACAGAAUCACUGCCCAACAGAACCCAGCAUGAAAGGAAUAUUAGAACACAAUGGCUACAUUUUUCUAGAGAUCACCCUUUUGUUUGCCAGGUGCUCUGGGAUAAAUCCAGGUCAUCAAACACCACUGGAUAAAGAAAUCUUUAAAAAACAGACAUAAUAAAAGAAGAAGCAUCCGAUGGCAUUUUGAUCUGAAAUGGAUCUGCACGUUGUUGUCAUUUACUAACAUGAUCUGAUCUUAGCUGGAAGAUCCUUAAGAUAGUUGUCUUUCACAUCAGACUCUCAGAUAACCCUUACAACCAAAUGAAAUUGCCAGUCCAAAUUAAUUAGCUCCAGCUUUCUUUAGAAUCAAGAAAAAUUCCAUAGUCUUUGGGAGCUAAAGUGAUGUGGUCUUGCAUAUACAAUUGUUCAGAUAUAGCAGGUUAUUGAAAAAGAACAUGCAGCAGCAGCAGUCAUUAGUUCCUGGCACACGGGCCCUACCAAGUAGAAAGUCUUAAUUUCAGAACCGGGAGCUGAACUGAAGGCACAUCCACCCAGAUGCUGCGUAUGCAAAUGCAGAAAUGGGAGAUAGAUACAUUUCAAGACCAAUUAGAAAUCAUCACUGACUGUAAGACUGGGACUCACUGCAGAUAACCAGGUCCUCCGUUGCUGCAGGCAGAUCUCCAGGAAUUUUAAUGGCAGGUCCUAGCAUCUGAAAGGGAAUCAUUUGCAUUGCGUAGACAACUGGGUAAGAAGCAUGCAUAUACUGUAUGCUGACCAGUCACUCUGAAGGAGAGAAAAAUAUUCUUAUCAAAAUAAGAAGUUGUUAACUAAAACCAAAGUGACUGGAUUUUCUGUUUACUGAGAAUUUGGGACAUUGGCUUGUGGUGUUGGCAAUGCACCAUAGCAUUUAAGACAAGUUUAACAAACUUCCAUCUGAAUUUAAUGCUCUGCAGGCAGAUGGUAUAAUUGUGUUCACUGAAUUUGGCGGAGUUUGUCCAUGUUUUUAAUCUAUUUAGCAUCUUUGAAAUGGAAAUAUUUCCUGGCUGAUGGCUCUUGGCAGACAGAAAGCUAUGGAUGGUGGAUAGGCAGGUGUGCAUCAGGCUCCUGUGGAUUCCCGUUAAGCUCCAGUUACUUCUUGGCUUGUGGAGCCACACCAGCUGAUCAGCUCUGCGCUUCAUUCUCAUCCUAACAAUACUAAGGAUAUGGGCAAACAAAAUGCCUCUCUACUUCCAUCUGUUUCGUGCUCAUCACACUCCUGCUCUCAAAUGUAAAGGCAAAAUACUCUUUGACACAGUUUGAGAGGAAAUGUUAGCAAAUUGUUUAAACAAGGUUGCCUGGUCAUUGUUUGUAUAUAUGACAUUAUACAUAUUACACAUGAUAUCUAAAAAAUCAUAUGUGACUGUAAAUCUGGCACUAGGGAGUUGUCUUUUUCUCCUUUGUUUCUUGCCCCAUUCCUUUUCUCUGGAGAGUUCCUGAUUUUCUUAUAUUGCAUUCUCUCUUCCUCUGUCUUCAGACACAUCCCAGAGCUAUGUGUGACACUCAUUCCUGCUGUUCUGGCCUUUUUUUUUUUCCCCUGGCUUUUCAGCCCUUGCUGAAGCACCAUCCCUUUUAUUUUUGGACACAGUAAUGCAUGUGUAAAGACCGAAGGAGACAAAUAAAAGAAUGAAGACAAGCCAUGGCUUUGGUAACUUGCACAGGCUAGAACAAACAUUUUAGGACCUUGAUGAAUGUAAAUAUAAAAAUGUAAGAAGAAUAAAGAAAAUACUAAACUAGGAGAAGCUUCAAAUAAUUUUAUUUGGAAAUUCAACAGACUCUUUUUAAAGGUUGCAGUGUGGGAAUAGGAGGGAUGGGAGCUCAUAUGGAGAAGGAGGUACUACCAUUCAUAUUUCCAACCCUGUACACCUUCUUCCCUAGGCAGCAAAAUUCUGAGCUAGCAGAAUACUCAAUAUUCAGGCUUUGCCUAGCAAUUCUCACCACUGCAUCAAUUCCCGAGAGAAGCUGUAACAAAGUCCACUUAUGUGGAAAGCAAGAGAAUUAUAUUCUGGCUAAUACCUGGCAUCAAGACACCAGUGUGAGAAGCAGCUGAUUUACCUGCCUCUACAGGCAGG